ncrna:unclassified sequences S15-Flavobacteria ribosomal protein leader
UAAAUUUGCACCCGUUCAACGGAACUACAUAAUAAUCAUUUACAACAAUAUUAGCAUG